CUAUGCGAAGAAAAGAUAUGAAAAUCUUACGGAGGAAGAAAAAAAAGAAAACCUAAACUUUGUUACAAUAGGCAUUAAUUCUGCAAUACAAUUGCGAAAUUAUUUGUCUCAAAUUCUUUUUUAUGAUUAUUAUUACAAUAAUAAAUUAAAUCAAAAUUACUUCGAGAACUCAAUUGAUACUGUAUUGAAAUUCUAUAAUAAUGUAAAAGAAUUCAGUGGUAAUAUCGAUAAAUAUGUACAUCCUUUUCAUGAAAUUCUACUUUUUCCUGAUCGUCCACGAGAGCGUAUAAAUGUGCUAAAAUAUACGUUUUAUAUUGAGGAGAUUAAAUGCUGGUUAACACCAUUUCAACAAAAAAUUAAUCGCAAUUCAAUCCAAAAAUUUUGCAAUAUAAAAAUGUCUCACUAUGAAAAGCUAUCUUCGAUACGAAAUGAGUUGGACAGAUAUAGAGAUAUGCCUGAAAGAGAACAGCUUUUGGAAGAAACAUGUACUUUCAUAGCACAACAAAUUCAACCUCGAAAAGAUGUAUAUUACACGAAUGUAAGUGCAUCAUUGGAUACAAUCGCACAAGAGGUACUGAAUCGUCUCAGAGAGAAGCAUCCGAACCAUUCGAUAUUCUCCACGUCUGAAGAAACUUUUUCUUAUUGGAAAACCAACAAUAUCAAAGAUAAUUAUAAGGACCAAACAGAAAGUAUGCAGAUUAUGGAUACACUUCAGGAAUAUAUAUUUGACACUUUGAACUUUCGAGUAUGUAUCUUCGUACCCGAAGAUAUCAAAUGUUUGUGUAUAGAUUAUGUUUUACGAAAAAAAUAUGGUCAAGAUAUCAU